rnacentral:lncRNA from 1 species
UUUUCCUUUUUCUCCUCUCUCACACUAGGUCUGUCUGUCAGUAUCUCCUGAGCUUUUGCAGCCUGUACAUUAUCCCCGACAGUGAAGCAUUAACCGAAAACAACCGUGGAGAUGAGGAAAAACACCGAAAAGAAAGAAGAAAAAGGAGAAAACGAAGAGGAAGACGAGGAGGAUGAAGAUGAAUCAGUAGCCUCGGUAAGAUUAGUGGCAUAGUUGCAAGAGAAAAUGGAAUGGAACUGACUUAAGAUAGCAGUGUAGCGGUAUUUCUUCCGAUAACUCAGAUUCAUCUUGUCACUAAUUUCGGGAAAUGGCACCGCUCUUGAAACUUUCAUUUGCACUUGGUUUGACAAAAUAGUAAUCUAUAUUUCUGUGUUUUUAUUUAGAUUUUUGGUCUGUUAUUUUUUCUAAUAACUAAUACAUGUGUCCACCCAACGUAGAAAGGCAGAAACUAGCCAUAUACAUACAUACAUACAUACAUACAUACAUACAUACAUACAUACAUACAUACACAUAUAUAUAUAUGUAUCUAUAUGUAUAUAUGUAUAUAUACAUACAUAUAUAUAUAUAUAUAUAUAUAUAUAUAUGUAUGUAUAUAUAUAUAAUUGUAUGUAUAUGCGUAUCUAUAUGGCAGUGUGAUAAGCUGUGAUAUUGGCAUCAAAGACAGCCCAUCGCAUUCAUCAUCAUCUCCAGCAUCACCACCAUCAUCAGCAUCAUUUGUUUUGCACGUUCAUUGCUGCUGUUGCUGCUGCCUUCUCUGUUGCUUUCACUUCCGUCAUUGCAACCAUCAGCAUCAUCAACAUUGUCGUCAUCACCACCACCGUCGUCAUCCUCAUCACAAUCAUGAUGAUAAUGACGAUGAUGAUAACGAUGGCGAUGAUGAUGAUGAUGAUGAUUAUUAUCAUCAUCAUCAUCAUCACUAUUUUCAUCUUAUUUAAUAUCUAUGUUAUCAGUUCUCUCCGCAUCAUCACCAUUAUCAUCAUCAUUGUCACUUUUAUACAUCAUCAUCAUCAUCAUCACCACUAUUGGGCACAGCAGCAGCAACAACAGCAGUUGUUGUAGUAGUAAAAACAAUAAUGCUAGUAGUAGUAGUAGUAGCAGUAGUAGUAGUAGUAGUUGUUGUUGUAGAAGCAGCAGCUGUAGUAGUAGUUGUAGUUGUAGUGGUAGUAGUAGUAGUAGUUGCAACUGCGGUAGUAGCAGCAGCAGCAAUGAUAGUAGUAGUAUUAGUAGUAGUAGUAGUAGUAAUGGAAUUGGUGCUGCUGAUAGAGAGGAUGGUGCUUCUUAUGCUAAGGUGAAGCAUAUGAUGAUGAUGACGAUGAUGAUGAUAAUGAUGGUGAUGAUGAUGAUGAUGAUGAGGUAGACGAUAAUGUUUAUGAUGAAUUGAAUAAUGAUUAUUAUCAUCAUCAUCGUCAUUAUUACUAUUAUUAUUAUUAUUAUUAUUAUUAUUAUUAUUCGGUUGAACUACAGUAUUGGUAAUACAAAUAACAACAACAAUAACCAUUCCACAACAACAACAACAACAACAGCAACAACGACAGCAACACAUCAUCGUCUCUCUCUCUGCACAGCUAACACUGUUGGUGGCAGUAGCAGUUAGCAAAAGCAGUCAGCAGCAGAAAUUAAGGCAGCUAGUAGCAGAAUUUCCUUGUUGCAGGCUAACAGACUGUUGUAGCCGCCAUAGUAAUGAAGCCAGUAUGAAGAUGGAUGUCUGUAAUGAAGAUUGCUUGGCAUUUUCUUUCCAGUAUUUCUCUUUUUUUUUUUCUACUUCUCUCUCUCGCUCUCUCACUUUCACUUUCCUUCUUUCUCUCUUUUUCUCACUGUUGAUGUUGAUAGCAGCUAACGGCAGCACUCUAUACCAUUUUCACCAUUUUACUCGUAAUAAUGCCAUCACCAAACACUACCAAACUAGCAUCACCUUAAAACCACAUAUGGUUGCUUACAUUCUCUUUCAUGUUAUGUCUUUAUCAUCAUCAUCAUCACCAUUUAUUAUUAUUAUCAUUGUUAUUAUCAUUAUUAUUAUCAUUAUUAUUAUUAUUAUUAUUAUUAUUAUUAUUAUUAUUAUUAUUAUUAUUAUCACUAUUAUUAUUAUUAUUAUUAUUAUUAUUAUUAUUAUUAUUAUUAUUAUUAAUAUUAUUAUUAUUAUUAUUAUUUUGUGACCUUACCUUCCUUAGCAUGGAACCUAUUUUACUUAUAUUACCAGCAAGCAUUAGUCUUUACAACACCAUCACACUGCAGUUUACCUCAUCCUCCACCACCACCACCACCACCACCACCACCAACAUUAAGUGCAAAAUAUUUUUAUUUUGUUUUAUUUAUUUCUAAUAUAUUAACAAUUUUUUGUCAUUCCAAAAUUAAAAAGUGUCUUUAUAUGUCAUUGAGUUUUUUAGAAAAAUCUACCAAAAUUUCUGUCAAAUUAUACUCACUUUAAACAAAAUCUUAUCGGAUAUUUUAGCCCUGGGAAGGACCCUGAAAAGAAAAAAACAGAAAGAAGUAACAUAUUCUUAAUCAUAAACUUGCUUGAUGAGAGUUGACCUGGGGUCAAAUAACAACAAAAACAACUACAGCAAUGACAACAUCAUACCAACAUGAAAAAAUAUAAAAUGAUGAUGAUGACGAUAAUGAUUGUGAUAAUGAUGAUGGUCCUUAAAUAUUUCUAUAGUUACAUAGUUAUUAUCGCUUUUUUCUCAUUUUGUGUUAUUGGACGAAGAUGUCACAGAGGUGAUCAGACCACUGGCUAUUCCAACAUUUGUCCAAUGUUUCCCUAACAAUGUUCACAGAAUUCCUUUUUGGGGUUUAUAUUUUCUCACCUAUGUCGGUCGAACUCAAAGGCUAGAGAAUUUUACUCAGGGACCCAUCAACUACAUACCCUGCUCUCUACCUCAUUGCCAAGAAUCAUUCUUCUCCAGGUCUAUUAGGUUGAUAAUUUAACUGUAAAGUAAAUAAUAAACUUUGUCAGUUAGAGAACCCUCAUCAACUUUCUUAUGGCCACAGUGGAAUGCUACAAUCACAGUCAGAUUAUACAUUCUCAGUUAUAACAAUAUAAUUACUACACUUCAUUAAUUUGCCUAAAUUUGAACACAAUAUCUCAUAUUUACAUGUAACUGUUUCACAAUUUCUGUUUAAACUUACAUGUUAAGAUAAAAUCUAAGAUCGGUUAUAAGACUGGCGGGCAGGUGGAGGUUAAUGUAUUAAUCAUGAGUAGUAGCAAUCCUCAUUAUUGGGGUCCUUUUCCCUUUUCUUCAGUAUUUUUGUCACCUCAAACAUUUCUUAUUUUAUUUUCACAUGUUUUUCUGUAAACUCACAUUGUGCUGCCCUGUUCUCUCUAGAUCUCUUAUUGUCUCAGAUCCUUUGUGGCUAAUAAAGAAAUUUAUUAUUAAUAUUAUUAUUAUUAUUAUCAUUAUUAUUGUUAUUAUUAUUAUAAUAAUUAUUAUUAUUGUUCUUUAAGGUGAAGGAAUUGCUGACAUAAAGCAUUAUUGAAAUACACCAGUGCGGAAGCAGAACUACUAAGCACUAUUUAGUUAUGUCCCUUUGGUGUUCAAAUCUUGUCAAGGUCAUUUUAGCUGUUUAUCCUUCCAGGGUCAGUAGACCACACACCUCUAAUGUGUAGCAGUGAAUCUAAUUUCUUUUACUUUUUUAUAUUUUUCUUUUAUUUGUUUCUGUCAUCAGACUGGCCAUGCUGGGGCACCACCUCCAAGAAUGCUUUCGUUGAACGAAUCAAACCUAAUACUUUUUUUAUAUUUUUUAAAGCCCAGUACUUAUUCUGUUGAUCUUUUUUGCUGAACUGCUAAGUUAUGGGGACGUAAAUACACCAACACCAGUUGUCAAGUGGUUGUUGGGGACAAAAUCAAACACAGAGAUACAUACAUACAUACAUACAUACAUAUAUAUAUAUAUAUACACAUACAUAUAUAUACACAUACAUAUAUAUAUAUAUAUAUAUAUAUAUAUAUAUAUAUAUAUGUAUAUGAUGGGCUUCUUUCUGUUUCUAUCUACCAAAUCAACUCAUGAAGCUUUGGUUGGUCCAAGGUUAUAACAGUAAGCACUCACUCAAGGUGUCAUGUGGUGGGACUGAACCAAGAACCCUGUGGUUGGGAAUCAAGCUUCUUAUCACACAGCCACACCUGCACCUAAUUGCCUAAACUCUUUCUCUGCAUAUUUAUUACCUUUGUUCAAUAUACAUAAAAAAAAAAAAUUAAAAUUCCAUGGAGACUUUCCUUUACAUUGAAAGUUCAAACACAUUUGAGGUCAAACUUACAUUUCAUUUUUUUUUGAUAAUUAAUUGAAGUACUAUUGAAAUUCUGAAUGUUGGUUUAAAACAAAUAUAAUUCAUUACCAAAAUUCUGUGUGGUUAAGCCUAAGUGAGACAUUGCAAGUUCAAAUCCCAUGGAGAUUAACUUUGCUUUUUCUCCUUCUGCAGUUGACAAAUAAAGUACCAAUCAAGUACUUGGGUUGAUAGAAUUAACCCAUUCUUCUUUUAGCAUUGCUGAUAUGUGUCUGAAUUAAUAAUAAUAAUAAUAAUAAUAAUAAUAAUAAUAAUAAUAAUAAUAAUAACAAUCUUUUCUACUAUAGGUACAAGGCCUGGAAUUUUGGGGGAGGGUAUAGUCAAUUACAUUGACACCAGUGUGUAACUGGUAUUUAUUUUAUCAACCCUGAAAGGAUGAAAGGCAAAAUUGACAAAAUUGACAUAAAAAACAUUUUGUCUGGCGUGCUAACAAUUGUGUCAGCUCACCACCUUAAUAAUAAUGAUGAUGAUGAUGAUGAUAAUAAUAAUAAUAAUAAUAAUAAUAAUAAUAAUAAUAAUAAUAAUAAUAAUAACCUUUCUGCUAUAGGUACAAAGUCUGAAAUUUUGAGGAAGUGAGGUCUAGUCAAUUAUAUUGACCCCAGUACUCAACUGGUACUUAUUUUAUCAACUAUGAAAGGAUGGCAAGCAAAUGUGACCUUGGUAGAUUUUGAACACAGAACAUAGAGAUGGAUAAAAUGCUGCUAAGCAUUUUGGGCUUAUGCUUCUGCCAGUCUGUCUCCUUCAAGAAUAAUAUUUGAUUCAAACAUAGGCUUGAGAAUUGUGGAAGGAAGUUAGUCAGUUGGUUUUAGUACUUUACUAGUGCUUUAUGCCAUUGAUCCCAGGGCAAUGAAAUGCAGAGUUGACUUUGGUGGGAUUUGAAAUCAAAAUCAAAAGACUGUGACCAAAUGUUGCAAGACACUAUAACAAUUUAAUAACAAUUAAUACUACUACAGCUACAAUUACUACUGUAAAUAAAGAGGAAGAAAAGCAGAGAAAAAAAGUCCCCUAAAAUUUGAAAUAGGAGGAAUUUGGAGCUUGCAAACAGUAAAGGUCAUGCCUAUAAUAAUUGGUGUCCUGGGAAUGGUCAGCCAAGAUUUAGACAAAUGACUGAGGGAGAUUGAAAUAGAAAUGCCUGGUAGAGCUCCUAUGGAAAGUUUGUCUCUUAGAGACAGCAAGGGUUAUCAGGAGGGUCCUAAAUAAACAUUUAAAAGACUGCUGAAAACUGGUGGAUACCUUAAUCCACAUAAUCCCUUCCAGGAAUAAGACUGAACCUGAGACAAACCAAAAAUAAUCCUUUCCACUAUGGGCACAUGGUCUGAAAUUUUGUGGGAUGGGGUCUAAUUGAUUACAUCGGCCCCAAUGUGAAACUGAUGGUUUAUGACCGAACAGCUUGUCUGACAUGCUAAUGAUUCUGCUAGCUCACCACUUUCAUAAUAAUAAUAAUAAUAAUAAUAAUAAUAAUAAUUAUGAUAGUUUUCAAUUGAGGCCCAAGGCAAACAAAUUUUGAGGGUAGUGUUUGUUGUUGCCGUUGACACUAGUACUUCACUGGUACUUUAUGUCAUCAUAUGGAAGAGGGGUCAACUUUGUUUUUUCACAGUUCUAUAUUUAAGAGAUGAGGAAUUGCGUACAUUAUUUACAUUAUUUACUUUCGAUGGAUAUUUGUCCUCAUCUUUUUUGUUGUUAACACAAAGUUUCAGCUGAUAGACCCUCCAGUCUUCUUCAGGUGUCUUGGGGAAAUUUCGAACCUGGGUUCUCAUUCCUAAGGUAUUUUUUGAUAUUAUCAUUAUUAUUAUUAUUAUUAUUAUUAUUAUUAUUAUUAUUAUUGCUAUUGUUAUUGUUCAGGUCACUGCUUGGAAUCGAACUUGGAAUCUUGGGGUUAGUAGCCUGCGCUCUUAACCACUACACCAUAAGCCCGUGGGCAUUUGUUUUUUUAAUUAGCUACCCUCAAAAUUUCUGGUCUUGUGCCAAACUUUCAAGCAGUUAUUAUUAUUAUUAUUAUUUAUUACUGUGCUUUGCAAUAUUAAAUUACAAACCAAAGUUUGCUGACAAUAUUCGCAUUUGGUGAAAUAUAGUACCAGCCAAUAUUUAUUUUUCUAUUUAUUUUCCUGUGGGAUUUCUAUUUCUUUCAUUUACUUUUAUUACUAUUUUAAAUCAGUUUCAUUUUGACAGAGUCCGUGCUUGAAAAUUGAUUUGAAUAAAUCUUUUAAAGAUAAAAAAUUAAAUUCUAAUUUUAUAUAAUUUUUUUCUGCAGCUUCGUUGGUGGAAGACUACAGAAAAACUUGAACUAUAUGCAGUAACUCUGAUGCUGUGUGGAAAUAAACAUUGGAAGAAAUCCUACCUGUAGAACUGCUGCAGUAGAAAGUAGUACAUCAUGAUAUUAUGGUGUUUAUUUUUUUGUCUGCAUAAUGGAAAACUGGUCUGGAUUUUUGUGAGUGAAAUUCAGAAAUGGGAUGGUGUCGAUCCUGGUGAGAGAUUAGGGCUCACACUGAAAAUCACCGAAAAAAGAAACAAAAAUUGUUUAGUAAGAUAGCCAAUUAGUUGCAAUUCCAUAUAUAUAUAUAUAUAUAUAUAUAUAUAUAUAUGUGUAUAUAUAUAUUUAUAAAUAUAUAUAAUUGAUAAAGAGGACAACAAUUAAAUAUCCACUGCAUCAGAAAUCCGUAAUGGCUCCAUAACUACCAUCUCAGCUAUAACCAUGGACCCCUGGUAAUUUGUUACAUCAUUUACCUAGUAUUCCUAAUUGUUUAGAUCACUUGUGAACUAAACCCCCA